CUGCAAUUUUUCUGUAAACCUAGCACUAUUCCAAAAUACAGAGAAGAUUAGCAUGGCUCCUAUGCAAAGAUGACACACAAAUUCGUGAAACAUUUCAUAUUUUU
ensembl:snRNA U6 U6 spliceosomal RNA